rnacentral:snoRNA from 1 species
GCUCUCCAGAUUCCUUACUCCUCAGAUCGAAAUAUUGGUCUGAGUGGCUCCAAAAGGAAGAAAAGUAAAACUGAAGUGGACGGGAAGUCUUUAAUGACAUGCAAGUUCAUUUCAAACAUUA